UGGGGGAACCCUGAUCAGCCAUGCCGCGUGAAUGAUGAAGGCCUUAGGGUUGUAAAAUUCUUUCAGUGGGGAAGAUAAUGACGGUACCCACAGAAGAAGCCCCGGCUAACUCCGUGCCAGCAGCCGCGGUAAUACGGAGGGGGCUAGCGU
rnacentral:rRNA from 1 species